GCCAGGCAUCAUAGCUCAUGCCUGUAGUUCCAGCUACUUGGAAGGCUGAGGUGGGAGGAUCUCCUGAGCACAGGGAGAUUGAGGCUGCAGUGAGCUGUGAUUAUACCACUGCACUCCAACCUGAGCAACAGGGUGAGACCCUGUCUCUA
ensembl:misc_RNA Metazoa_SRP Metazoan signal recognition particle RNA